rnacentral:rRNA from 1 species
GGUUAAGCGACUAAGCGUACACGGUGGAUGCCCUGGCAGUCAGAGGCGAUGAAGGACGUGCUAAUCUGCGAUAAGCGUCGGUAAGGUGAUAUGAACCGUUAUAACCGGCGAUUUCCGAAUGGGGAAACCCAGUGUGUUUCGACACACUAUCAUUAACUGAAUCCAUAGGUUAAUGAGGCGAACCGGGGGAACUGAAACAUCUAAGUACCCCGAGGAAAAGAAAUCAACCGAGAUUCCCCCAGUAGCGGCGAGCGAACGGGGAGCAGCCCAGAGCCUGAAUCAGUGUGUGUGUUAGUGGAAGCGUCUGGAAAGGCGCGCGAUACAGGGUGACAGCCCCGUACACAAAAAUGCACAUGCUGUGAGCUCGAUGAGUAGGGCGGGACACGUGGUAUCCUGUCUGAAUAUGGGGGGACCAUCCUCCAAGGCUAAAUACUCCUGACUGACCGAUAGUGAACCAGUACCGUGAGGGAAAGGCGAAAAGAACCCCGGCGAGGGGAGUGAAAAAGAACCUGAAACCGUGUACGUACAAGCAGUGGGAGCCUCUUUAUGGGGUGACUGCGUACCUUUUGUAUAAUGGGUCAGCGACUUAUAUUCUGUAGCAAGGUUAACCGAAUAGGGGAGCCGAAGGGAAACCGAGUCUUAACUGGGCGUUAAGUUGCAGGGUAUAGACCCGAAACCCGGUGAUCUAGCCAUGGGCAGGUUGAAGGUUGGGUAACACUAACUGGAGGACCGAACCGACUAAUGUUGAAAAAUUAGCGGAUGACUUGUGG